rnacentral:pre_miRNA from 1 species
AGAGCCCAUUGUAGUCAAUGGGAGACUUUUUCCAUUGACUUCAUCGGGGUUUGGA